UGUUCUUCCUCGUUCCCCAAUCUGCGCCGCCCCAACUCUCCCGAUUUGUUCUUCCUCGUUCCCCAAUCUGCGCCGCCCCAACUCAUCUUUCCCAGCUCCUCUUCCCGGUUCGUUCAUCGUAGGUGCUGGUAAUCCUAGCGACGCAAGUACCACCGCCGCGAGGUCAGGCCGCCCCCACAACCACCGGGAUUACGGCGCUCGGCCAGUGGGCAGACUACGCCCACCCGUCGUCGGGGAGCUCGCCCGACCCAUCGCCGGGGUGCUAUGUCGUGGUGGAUGCAACCACCCAACGGCAAGCACUGCGACGUGCCGUGGUGGUGGUGCCAGUAUACCGGUGGUGCCGUACUAAGCCGGUGAGGGCGCCUGGUCAAGUUGCGCCGCGGCGACCCGAGGCUGCGCCGGUCUGCCGCCGGGGGCUGCCUCGUGCUGGACCACUGCUGCCAGUUCGUUUGCCCGAGAUCCGCAUUCGUCUCCUUUCCCGUCCUCGCCGUCGAGCUCGGCAGUUUGCAACCGCGGUUCAACGGCGUGGAGACCUCAACUGGACACGAGCAUGGGUGGAGUCAAUAGUAUGGCGGAUAUGGCAUCUCCCUCUCAUGAUAUUAGCGGGUACAGGCAUAUCUGCAGCCAGAAAAAGCAUGGGGAUGAACGUCGGGCGAGCGCCGGGCGACGCGUAAAGGGGGCUGUGCUGGCUCCAGAGUAGUAUAGCUCUGGGACUAUUUGUAAUUUUUAGUUUUUUUGGAUUAGUUUUUUCUUUUUGUGGUAUUGUUUGUAAAAGUAUGUAGAUAAUUGCAGCAUGUUUUUUCUUUUUUAUUAAAAUGCCAUUUUUCUGUUA